GUUCUUGUAGUUGAAUUACAACGGUGAUUUUUCAUGUCAUUAGUCAUGGUGCGACCCAUGUGAGAAUA
rnacentral:tRNA from 1 species